GACGAACGCUGGCGGCGUGCCUAAUACAUGCAAGUCGAGCGCAGGAAACUGACGGAACUCUUCGGAGGGAAGGCAGUGGAAUGAGCGGCGGACGGGUGAGUGACACGUAAGGAACCUGCCUCAAGGAUUGGGAUAACUCCGAGAAAUCGGAGCUAAUACCGGAUAGUUCAACGGACCGCAUGGUCCGCUGAUGAAAGGCGCUCCGGCGUCACCUUGAGAUGGCCUUGCGGUGCAUUAGCUAGUUGGUGGGGUAACGGCCCACCAAGGCGACGAUGCAUAGCCGGCCUGAGAGGGUGAUCGGCCACACUGGGACUGAGACACGGCCCAGACUCCUACGGGAGGCAGCAGUAGGGAAUCUUCCACAAUGGACGAAAGUCUGAUGGAGCAACGCCGCGUGAGUGAUGAAGGUUUUCGGAUCGUAAAACUCUGUCGUAAGGGAAGAACACGUACGAGAGGAAAUGCUCGUACCUUGACGGUACCUUACGAGAAAGCCACGGCUAACUACGUGCCAGCCGCCGCGGUAA
rnacentral:rRNA from 1 species